CUGGGUUUAGUGCUUUCAGGCUCCAAAGAAGGUAUUUUUAAAAUCAAAGGUAGCCUGACAGGAGAAAAAUGCACACCAUUAGAUGCAAUUGCUAUGUAAAUGGUCUUUUUGUUUUAGAGUGCAGUUUAUAGUAAUUGAAAAAAAUCCCAUAUGCCAUUUUCAUUGGUUACUCCAUUUGUUUUCUUUCUGUGUAAUUGAAUUUCACACAAAAGAGAGAAUGAAAACUUUUGAAUACUGAAAUACUGAAGCAAUAUUUUCAGGUGCAUCAUUGUAUUUUCUAUAGAUUCUUUAAUUUUAGAGCUUAGCUCUUGGUAAGUAUUCUCCAGGGUGUAUAUUUAUGUUUGUGUGUGUUUGUGUUUUAUGAGACUCGAAGAAGGAGAAUGACAUCUCUUUUGAGACCAACCUCUGAUUCCAUUGAAUGUUACAUUUCUUAAAACAUCAAAAAAUUGUCUUUCAGUCACGUUUUGGGUUU
rnacentral:lncRNA from 1 species